rnacentral:lncRNA from 1 species
AUCUCAAAUAAUUUAUCAGUAUUCUCAAUGUGUGAAUAUGUUUCUUUUGCAGUAUUCCAAAUUUCCGAAGUAGUCUCAUAGAGAAGGAAAUUUUCUCCAACAUCGUUGUUCAUUGAAUUGAUGAGCCAAGACAUCACCAUAUUAUUUUCUGCCUUCCAACUUUUGAAUUUUGGAUCGUUGAUUGCUGGAGAUUUGGUAGUGCUAGUAAGAUAUUCAUCUUUUCCUUUCCCGCAGAUAAACAUGAUAAUGGAUUGUGACCACUCUAAAUAAUUUUUCCCAUUCAGUUUGUGCCCUGUAAUGGGAAGAUGAGAGUUGUCCAUGCUUCCAUAGCCAUUUGAAACUGUGACUUUCUCGGUAGCCAUUCCAAAGGCUGGGCCGUAUUUGGGUAUAAAGAAGAGGGAUUCAAGAAAAUUGAAUUCCAGUGAAGAGGCAGAAAUAAUCCUGCUCUGAUACCAUGAAACUUUUGUAGAGAGUUUUUUUAUUUUUUUAUUUCUCUUGUUCUUCAAUUGAAAAAGAUACAUAUCUAUAUAUCCAAAUGCAGAGACAAAUCUGCUGUAAUAAAGCACAAUAAAAUCCUAUGAUUAUGGGAGAUAAUCUCUCACAAAAUCAGGGAAUAAAAUAAAGAAAAAUUGACUGAAUAAUAGGCUACCCAAAUCUCUAAAAUAAGGAAAGUAAUUAAACUAUCCUAGAAUCAAUCCUUGAAUUACAACAGUAUUAUUGUGUAAACUUUCCAUCGUUGCAAGGGAAGAUAGAAUUGAAAGUAACAUGUUCACUGUUGUUUCUUGCACUUCUCUUUUACUUUUUUUUCCCUUUUGCUCAUAUGCUUGGAUUUACGAGUUUUUAUGUGUAUACAUAGACAAUAAGAAUGACGAGGGAGAGAAGCACAACAUCACGUCAACUCGACCUGGUUAUGUAGAUGGAUGAGUUGUCGAUUAGGCAUUCUUUAAUAAGGGUAUAAUUCACAUUUUGCACUUCAUUAAGUAACAAACAGACCUCUUUUAACAAUAAAUAAAUAAAAGGCCUUUUUAACCCUUGAAAAGGGCCUUUGAAAAAAAAAUAAAAAUCCCUAUGUUAAUUCUGACUUUAGGGCUCCUAGUAAUCACGAGGGAAAAUUUAGAAAUUUUAGGUGCUUGCUUUUUUCUUUUUUCGUAAGAUGUGUUGUGUUGUGCAUGUGACUUAUAUAGAGUGGAACAUAGGUCCUGGAUC